UACGGAGGAUGCGAGCGUUAUCCGGAUUUAUUGGGUUUAAAGGGUGCGUAGGCGGAAUGUCAAGUCAGCGGUAAAAAUUCGGGGCUCAACCCCGUCGUGCCGUUGAAACUGAUGUUCUUGAGUGGGCGAGAAGUAUGCGGAAUGCGUGGUGUAGCGGUGAAAUGCAUAGAUAUCACGCAGAACUCCGAUUGCGAAGGCAGCAUACCGGCGCCCAACUGACGCUGAAGCACGAAAGCGUGGGUAUCGAACAGG
rnacentral:rRNA from 1 species